CCAAUAGCGUAUAUUAAAGUUGUUGCAGUUAAAAAGCUCGUAGUUGAAUUUCGGGGUCAGUAGGCUGGUCGUGCCACGGGUAUGUACUGGUCUUACUGAUUCCUCCUUCCUGAUGAACCGUAAUGCCAUUAAUUUGGUGUUGCGGGGAAUCUGGACUGUUACUUUGAAAAAAUUAGAGUGUUUAAAGCAGGCUAACGCUUGAAUACAUUAGCAUGGAAUAAUGAAAUAGGACGAUCGAUCCUAUUUUGUUGGUUUCUAGGAUUGACGUAAUGAUUAAUAUGGGUAGUUGGGGGGCAUUAGUAUUCAAUUGACAGAGGUGAAAUUCUUGGAUUUAUUGAAGACUAACUACUGCGAAAGCAUUUGCCAAGGAUGUUUUCAUUAAUCAAGAACGAAAGUUAGGGGAUCGAAGACGAUCAGAUACCGUCGUAGUCUUAACCAUAAACUAUGCCGACUAGGGAUCGGAUGAUGUUAAUUUUUUAAUGACUCAUUCGGCGCCUUACG
rnacentral:rRNA from 1 species